UCUCUCUCUCUCUCUCCCCUCUUUUUGAUUACACAACUCUUUAGAACGCGCGGAGACCAAUUUUCUUUCUUUGUGUAUUUCAUAUAUAACUUGGUUUUGUGUUUCUUGAAUCUAUCUCUCUUUUGCAGGUUUUGGUUUUGCACACUGAUCAAUCCAUUUGCAGGAUUUUGAUAUUUUCUUUCUCUGUUUCUUCUUUCUUACUGUUUUCAUUUUUCAUUGAUAUACAAUACAUACAUAUAUUCUGCUGGUAUUAAAUUUAAGGGAUGCAGGAUCAAUGAGUUCCCCAUCUGACUUGAAGUUAGUCAGGGUCUCGGUGCCUUAUUCAAGAACAGUUUCUUCAGAAAAGGAAUUAUCAGGAAAAUGUAAGUUUUUUUUCCUUUUUUUAUUUUUUAUUUUUAUAUAACCAAAUUGAUCUUUAUUAGGGUUCAAUCCUGAAAAAUUGGACUUUCGUUAUUGAUUGGUUUUCAUUUCUGAAUCUUGUUACCCUUGUAGUUUUUAUUGUAUGUAUAGGGUUUAGGGUUCAUCUAUUUUUUGAUCUGAUGUUAAAUUGAAUUUGAUUAAUGAAAUUGGGGCUUCUGUUUGACUAUGAAUUGGAUUUUUUUAUUCAUUGGACUUUCAUUUCUUAAUCUUGUUACCCUUGUAAACGUAAUGUAUGUAUAGGGUUUUGGGUUCAUCUAUGAUCUGGUGUUAAAUUGGGCUCCUGAUGGACGCCACAUUGCCAUUGGACUGAACAAUUUCGAAGUAUAGCUAUGGGAUUCAACUGCAAAUCGGCAGGUUGGUUUCUUGUCAUGAAUCCUUGUACUUUUCAUUUUCCUCCCUUUCUAUUCUAUGUUAUCUGGUCCCCAAUUUUCCGAAUAUUCAUUAUUUGCUGUGAUAUUUCUUUCCUUAGCUGAGAACCUUGAGAGGUUGCCACUAAUCCCGAGUAGGCUCCUUGGUAUGGAACAAUCACAUUCUCACAACUGGAGGAAUGGAUUGUUGAAUAGUUAAUAAUGAUGUAAGAAUUAGAUCACACAUUGUUGAGACGUACAGAGGACAUGAACAAGAGGUUUGGGGGCUUAAAUGGUUGGCCUCAGGCCAACAAUUAGCAAGUGGAGGAAAUGAUAACCUAUUCCAUAUAUGGGACAGAUCAGUGGCAUCUUCAAAUCCACCAACAUAGUGGCCUCACCGGCUUCCCUUGCUUGGUGUCCUUUCCAGGGCAACUUGCCGGCUUCUGGUGGAGGCGGGGGUGAUCGGUGCAUAAAGUUCUGGAACACCUACACUGGUGCAUGCCGGGGCAACUUGCUGGCUUCUGGAUUGUGCUUUGCUGUGGAAGAAGAAUGAACGAGAGCUGCUUAGCUCACAUGGGUUUACUCAGAAUCAGCUUACUCUUUGGAAAUACCCAUCAAUGGCUAAAGUUGCAGAACUCACUGGCCAUACUUCUAGAGUUCUUUAUAUGGCUCAGGUAAUGAAUUAGCUAUCAAAGACCUUGUAAAUGAAUUUAUUAUAAAUCAUUUUUUCUGUUGGACAGAAUGCUAAAUACUCCUAUAUUGUAAAUUAUCUUACAGAGUCCAGAUGGUUGCACCCGCAGUAGCAUCAGCAGCUGGUGAUGAAAUUCUGAGAUUCUGGAAUGUUUUUGAGAUCCCUGAGGUGGCUAAACCAGCUCCCAAAGCUAAUCCGGACCUUUUACCCAUUUGAAUUGUAUCCGUUGAUCAAGAGCAUGCAUAAUUAAAUGAGAUGGAGAUUCAUGGAACCAAAACUGUAUAGGAUGCAGAAGUUUGAAGUGAAAUGAAAAACACAUGACAAUCUCAGUACAUGUUCUUUCAACAAUUCCCCUGUAUAAACUAUAAAGAGUGGCAGGAAAUAAGAAAUCCUUGUACAUAUUCUUUUGGCAAUCUCAGUACAUAUUUUUGGCCAGCAUCUCUCACCU
rnacentral:lncRNA from 1 species